UACGAAGGGGGCUAGCGUUGUUCGGAAUUACUGGGCGUAAAGCGUGCGCAGGCGGUUUUGUAAGCCGGAUGUGAAAUCCCCGGGCUUAACCUGGGAAUGGCAUUCGGGACUGCAAGGCUGGAGUGCGGCAGAGGAGACUGGAAUUCCUGGUGUAGCGGUGAAAUGCGCAGAUAUCAGGAGGAACACCGGUGGCGAAGGCGCUGCUCUGGGCCGAAACUGACGCUGAGGAGCGAAAGCGUGGGUAGCAAACAGG
rnacentral:rRNA from 1 species